GAUGUGGAUAUUUUACGAGCAAAAGAUUCAAGAAGUGCGCAGAGCAUUCAAAUUCCCCCACAAAAUUCAGUUGAAUAUGGCAUCCUCUCAACAUAAUGGGAUCCGGACACCAUUUCAGGACCUAACGAACACUAGAAAUUCUGCCAAUUGGAACAACAAGCAAUGCAUCAGCUAAUUAGAACAUCAAGCAAGCAAUGGAGCUACUGUCAAGGUUGCAUCACAUUCAUACUAUAGAUUCAGUAAAGUUUAGGUUCUCUAUCCAACACACU